AUUGAACGCUGGCAGCAGGCCUAACACAUGCCAGUCGAGCGGAUGAAGGGAGCUUGCUCCUGGAUUCAGCGGCGGACGGGUGAGUAAUGCCUAGGAAUCUGCCUGGUAGUGGGGGAUAACGUCCGGAAACGGGCGCUAAUACCGCAUACGUCCUGAGGGAGAAAGUGGGGGAUCUUCGGACCUCACGCUAUCAGAUGAGCCUAGGUCGGAUUAGCUAGUUGGUGGGGUAAAGGCCUACCAAGGCGACGAUCCGUAACUGGUCUGAGAGGAUGAUCAGUCACACUGGAACUGAGACACGGUCCAGACUCCUACGGGAGGCAGCAGUGGGGAAUAUUGGACAAUGGGCGAAAGCCUGAUCCAGCCAUGCCGCGUGUGUGAAGAAGGUCUUCGGAUUGUAAAGCACUUUAAGUUGGGAGGAAGGGCAGUAAGUUAAUACCUUGCUGUUUUGACGUUACCAACAGAAUAAGCACCGGCUAACUUCGUG
rnacentral:rRNA from 1 species